CAGCAGUGGGGAAUAUUGCACAAUGGGGGAAACCCUGAUGCAGCGACGCCGCGUGAGUGAAGAAGUAUCUCGGUAUGUAAAGCUCUAUCAGCAGGAAAGAUAAUGACGGUACCUGACUAAGAAGCCCCGGCUAACUACGUGCCAGCAGCCGCGGUAAUACGUAGGGGGCAAGCGUUAUCCGGAUUUACUGGGUGUAAAGGGAGCGUAGACGGCAGCGCAAGUCUGGAGUGAAAUGCCGGGGCCCAACCCCGGAACUGCUUUGGAAACUGUGCGGCUCGAGUGCGGGAGAGGUAGGCGGAAUUCCUAGUGUAGCGGUGAAAUGCGUAGAUAUUAGGAGGAACACCAGUGGCGAAGGCGGCUUACUGGACCGUAACUGACGUUGAGGCUCGAAAGCGUGGGGAGCAAACAGGAUUAGA
rnacentral:rRNA from 1 species